GCCAGCAUAGUGUAGUGGUUUGAGCGCUGGAUUGCGACUCUGGAGACCAGGGUUUGAAUCCCUGUGCAGCCA